rnacentral:rRNA from 1 species
CCUACGGGCGACUGCAGUCGAGAAUCAUUCACAAUGGGGGAAACCCUGAUGGUGCGACGCCGCGUGGGGGAAUGAAGGUCUUCGGAUUGUAAACCCCUGUCAUGUGGGAGCAAAUUAAAAAGAUAGUACCACAAGAGGAAGAGACGGCUAACUCUGUGCCAGCAGCCGCGGUAAUACAGAGGUCUCAAGCGUUGUUCGGAAUCACUGGGCGUAAAGCGUGCGUAGGCUGUUUCGUAAGUCGUGUGUGAAAGGCGCGGGCUCAACCCGCGGACGGCACAUGAUACUGCGAGACUAGAGUAAGGGAGGGGGAACCGGAAUUCUCGGUGUAGCAGUGAAAUGCGUAGAUAUCGAGAGGAACACUCGUGGCGAAGGCGGGUUCCUGGACAUUAACUGACGCUGAGGCACGAAGGCCAGGGGAGCGAAAGGGAUUAGAUACCCCAGUAGUC